AGCCAAGAAUUUCUUCCCACCCCCUCUCUAUACCAGGGCAGCAGAUGGCCCUAGAGUGCUUACAAUCCUCCCCUGCAAACCCGGGUUGAUUCCCACAGCCUGAAGUCUGGGGCUGUCCCCAGUGUACCGUGCCCAGCCCAGUCCACAGAGCCGCUGUUCCUCCCCGGGGCACACGACGAAACAGCAGCCUCUAUAGGCGGAGAAUCCUUCCCCUUGCGAAGGCUGACACCUGAGGGGAGGGAGACUUCUCGUUUCCACUGGGCUCCUGCAGACCCUCCUCGGAUUGAUUCUGCUUCGGUAUCUGCAUCUGCGAGGGAGAGAAGAAACGGAGCUCACCAUGGCCUCAGAGCGUGGAGCUGCUCUGUGGAGCCUUCUCCUCACCUUUGCUUUUCUCGUCUCCUGCUGCGAAGCCCAAGUGGUUCAGAGCCCCGAGUGGCUGGUUACAGGGGAAGGGAAGGUCUCCACCAUGUCCUGCUCUUUCACCAGCGCUUACCAAGCCUUCCAGUGGUAUCAGGAGCGCCCUGGGCAAGGGCCCACCCACCUGCUGACCGCGAGCUCUAAUGACAAUGUCACUGUGGGACGGUUCAAAGGCGAGAGCCUGGAAAGUGGGAAACGCAGCUCUCUGCACAUCACCGACUCCCAGCUGGGGGACUCAGGCAGCUACCUCUGUGCGGUGAGAGCACAGUGACACAGGCAGAGCUGGGCUCAGGGCAAAAACCCUUAGGCUCUGACAGGCAGUUUAUGGGAGGAGAUGCAGGGACGGAUCCUCAGAUGGUGUAAAACAGCACAACUCCAUUGCAGAGUAAGGGACGGAUCCUCAGUUGUUAUAAAUGGGCAGAGCUCCAGCGGAAUCAAAGGGGCCAUAUCAUAAGUACCCAGGGAUUGGAACUCAGGUCUGCAGAUCCUGGGACAGCUGUGUGAAGAUCAGCGUAAAUCUGGAGUCACUCCACAUAUGUUCUUUGCGGUGACUGUAACAAAUCCGAGACACAAGUUCAUUUUUUCCCCUUUUCUUCCUAUGGGAUACUUUCUAAAGGAAAAUUCAUUACUAAACAUUUCCAGCGAUAAAACAUGUUCCCUUAAGGGAGCCGAAUGCAAAAUAUCUCUGGCUUCAAAGCUGUAAAAUCAUCCGCUUUUCAAUAGCAA